UAUAAAAUAAUAAUUAUCUUACUUGGAGUAACACUUAAGUUGUAAGUGCACUUUGAAGUACAUAUUCUCAAGUUUAGGAUGAGAGAAAGAGAGAGAAUGUUGAAUGAGACUGUUUUAUGCCACAACGAUCUGUGUGCUUGCCUACCUUAUAUGUUUUCAUUUCUGAACAACUCUGAAAAACAGCCCUUUGUCAGGAGAAGGCCAAGGAUAAGGGAAGUUGAAAGUAUUGAACACUACAAAUCAUACAGCUUCUAGAGUUCGGAAUCAAGGUUUGUUCGGUCAGACUUUAUAGCUCUCAAGUCCAUUCCAUAGAUAUAUUAAUGACUAUAGAAACAAUUUCUAUAAGUUCUUGAAUUUAGUAACUGAGUUGUGUUAACAGUUGUGUAUGUCAUUUCAUCUGUAGGCAGUUAUUUGGCAGAAAACUAGCGUAUCUGACCACAAGACGGCUCUCAUGUCAGUUCUGGGGACUGCUAUUAUGGGCAACUUGGAGUCUUUUCAGGUACCACUCUGAAGAAUCUCAGAUUUAUCUAAGUGGAUUCCUUCCAAAGCUUGAUGCAGACCACUCUUCCACAAGUCUUUCAACUCCAGAGAGGAGUUUCGUCUUUAUAAAUAGUCGACCUGCCCAUCAGAAAGAUAUAUUAAAGUUAAUCCGACAUUAUUACAAUCCAAAGUGCCUAAAGGAAUCUACUCGUUUGUAUCCCAUCUUUUUUCUGAAAAUUGAUGUACCUACAACUGAUGUGGAUGUAAAUCUAACACCAGAUAAAAGUCAAGUAUUAUUACAGAAUAAGGAAUCUGUUUUAAUUGCUCUUGAAAAUCUGAUGACAACUUGUUAUGGACCACUACCUAGUACAAAUUGUUAUGAAAAUAAUAAAACAGAUGUUUCCUCAA